CCCUACUGCUAUCGGGAUGAGACUAAAACAUGCUAGUUGUGCGCUCCCUAGCCACGUUGGGAACGCAGCGAACGGCUCCGUAACACGUAGUUAAUCUGCCCUUAGGACGGGGAUAACCCCGGGAAACUGGGGCUAAUACCCGAUAGGCGGAAAAGCCUGGAAUGGUCUUUCACCUAAAGGGUUUCAGGAACAUGCUCCUGAGACUGCCUAAGGAUGAGACUGCGAUCGAUCAGGUUGUUGGUGGGGUAACGGCCUACCAAGCCUAUAACCGGUACGGGCCCUGAGAGGGGGAGCCCGGAGAUGGGAACUGAGACAAGGUCCCAGACCCUACGGGGUGCAGCAGUUGCGAAACCUCUACAAUGCACGAAAGUGUGAUAGGGUUAUCCCGAGUGCCGUCCGAUGAGGAUGGCUUUUCCCCGGUGUAAGGAGCCGGGGGAAUAAAGGGGGGGCAAGACUGGUGUCAGCCGCCGCGGUAAUACCAGCCCCCUGAGUGGUGGGGACGAUUAUUUGGCCUAAAGCGUCCGUAGCCGGCUUAGCAAGUCUUUCGUUAAAUCCGGCGACUUAAUCGUCGAGCUGCGAGAGAUACUACUAGGCUAGAGGACGGGAGAGGUCGACGGUAUUCCGGGGGGAGGGGUAAAAUCCUAUAAUCCUCGGAGGACCACCAGUGGCGAAGGCGGUCGACUAGAACGUGCCUGACGGUGAUGGACGAAAGCUGGGGGAGCAAACCGGAUUAGACACCCGGGUAGUCCCAGCCGUAAACGAUGCGGGCUAGGUGUUGGGGCAGCCACGAGCUGCUCCAGUGCCGCAGAGAAGUCGUUAAGCCCGCCGCCUGGGAAGUACGGUCGCAAGACUGAAACUUAAAGGAAUUGGCGGGGGAGCACCACAAGGGGUGAAGCCUGCGGUUCA
rnacentral:rRNA from 1 species